rnacentral:rRNA from 1 species
GCCAGACUCCUACGGGAGGCAGCAGUGGGGGAUAUUGCACAAUGGGGGGAACCCUGAUGCAGCGACGCCGCGUGGGUGAAGGAGCGUUUCGGCGCGUAAAGCCCUAUCGGCAGGGAAGAAGGAGGACGGUACCUGACUAAGAAGCCCCGGCUAACUACGUGCCAGCAGCCGCGGUAAUACGUAGGGGGCAAGCGUUAUCCGGAUUUACUGGGUGUAAAGGGGGCGCAGACGGCAGCGCAAGCCAGGAGUGAAAGCCCGGGGCCCAACCCCGGGACUGCUCUUGGAACUGCGCGGCUGGAGUGCAGGAGGGGCAGGCGGAAUUCCUGGUGUAGCGGUGAAAUGCGUAGAUAUCAGGAGGAACACCGGUGGCGAAGGCGGCCUGCUGGACUGCGACUGACGUUGAGGCCCGAAAGCGUGGGGAGCAAACAGGAUUAGAUACCCCCGUAAUG